rnacentral:rRNA from 1 species
AACGAACGUUAGCGGCGCGCCUAACACAUGCAAGUCGCACGAGAAAGGGCUUCGGCCCCGGUAAAGUGGCGCACGGGUGAGUAACACGUGGGUAAUCUGCCCUCGAGCGGGGGAUAACAUUCCGAAAGGAGUGCUAAUACCGCAUAAGACUACGACCUCGAAAGGGGAUGCAGUCAAAGCUGGCCUCUAUACAUAAGCUAGCACUUGAGGAUGAGCCCGCGGCGCAUCAGGUAGUUGGUGAGGUAAUGGCUCACCAAGCCUAAGACGCGUAGCUGGUCUGAGAGGAUGAUCAGCCACACUGGAACUGAGACACGGUCCAGACUCCUACGGGUGGCUG